ensembl:lncRNA novel transcript
GAGACCUGGUGACAGGAGCCAUGAGGGGCCAGGCCUCAGGUCCCACAGGUCAGUUGCAAGGGCCUAGCACAGCUAGCCCCCUGAGAGGCCUCCCUACUUAGUGGUCAGGUGUUAGGAAGGUUUGGUGGGGCCACUUGAGGUGCCCUGGGGUUGGGGUGAAACCCCUCUGCAGCCUAGUCAGCCCAAGGGCAUUGUGAAAGUGACAGCUGCCAGAGGUCUGGGUUCCAGCCCCUGGCUGACAUUAAACUUUUCUGAAUUUCGGUUUUUCCCUGUAAAUUGGGGAAAAUUACUUGCCCCAGCUUCAACACUGCCUCCCCUCCACCCUUUUGCUGCUGCCUUAUCAGGCCCCAGCUGUAGGCAGGUCAGCCCACGCCCGGCGGCAGAGCCCAGAGAGGCUCGCUCAUCUCAGCCGCCAGAAGUGUCAUCCCAGGGAAGCCUCCAGGACCACUGGCUGCCCAUGAGAGACGAAGGAUGGCAUCCAAGGGGGCCGGCGUGUCUUUCUCCCGCAAGAGCUGUAGGCUGACCUCAGAUGCUGAGAAAUCCAGGGUCACAGUUACUCGGGAGGCUGAGGCAGGAGAAUCGCUUGAACCGGAGAGGCGGACGUUGCAGUGAGCCGAGGUCAAACCAGUGCACUCCAGCCUGGGCAACAGAGCGAGACUCCAUCUGAAAAAGAAACAAAAAGAAAAAAAAA